AACAACCGGGAUUGCUUAGUAACGGCGAGUGAAGCGGCAAAAGCUCAAAUUUGAAAUCUGGCGUCUUCGACGUCCGAGUUGUAAUUUGAAGAAGGCGACUUUGUAGCUGGUCCUUGUCUAUGUUCCUUGGAACAGGACGUCAUAGAGGGUGAGAAUCCCGUGUGGCGAGGAUCCCAGUUAUUUGUAAAGUGCUUUCGACGAGUCGAGUUGUUUGGGAAUGCAGCUCUAAGUGGGUGGUAAAUUCCAUCUAAAGCUAAAUAUUGGCGAGAGACCGAUAGCGAACAAGUACAGUGAUGGAAAGAUGAAAAGAACUUUGAAAAGAGAGUGAAAAAGUACGUGAAAUUGUUGAAAGGGAAGGGCAUUUGAUCAGACAUGGCGUUUGCUUCGGCUUUCGCUGGGCCAGCAUCAGUUUUAGCGGUUGGAUAAAUCCUCGGGAAUGUGGCUCUGCUUCGGUAGAGUGUUAUAGCCCGUGGGAAUACAGCCAGCUGGGACUGAGGAUUGCGACUUUUGUCAAGGAUGCUGGCGUAAUGGUUAAAUGCCGCCCGUCUUGAAACACGGACCAAGGAGUCUAACGUCUAUGCGAGUGUUUGGGUGUAAAACCCGUACGCGUAAUGAAAGUGAACGUAGGUGAGGGCCCGCAAGGGUGCAUCAUCGACCGAUCCUGAUGUCUUCGGAUGGAUUUGAGUAAG
rnacentral:rRNA from 1 species